rnacentral:rRNA from 1 species
ACUCAAAUGAAUUGACGGGGGCCCGCACAAGCGGCGGAGCAUGCGGAUUAAUUCGAUGCAACGCGAAGAACCUUACCUGGGUUUGACAUACACCGGAAAGCUGCAGAGAUGUGGCCCCUUUUUGUCGGUGUACAGGUGGUGCAUGGCUGUCGUCAGCUCGUGUCGUGAGAUGUUGGGUUAAGUCCCGCAACGAGCGCAACCCUCGUCCUAUGUUGCCAGCACGUGAUGGUGGGGACUCAUAGGAGACUGCCGGGGUCAACUCGGAGGAAGGUGGGGAUGACGUCAAGUCAUCAUGCCCCUUAUGUCCAGGGCUUCACGCAUGCUACAAUGGCCGGUACAAAGGGCUGCGAUGCUGUAAGGCGGAGCGAAUCCCAAAAAGCCGGUCUCAGUUCGGAUUGGGGUCUGCAACUCGACCCCAUGAAGUCGGAGUCGCUAGUAAUCGCAGAUCAGCAACGCUGCGGUGAAUACGUUCCCGGGCCUUGUACACACCGCCCGU